AUUGAACGCUGGCGGCAUGCCUUACACAUGCAAGUCGAACGGCAGCACGGGAGCAAUCCUGGUGGCGAGUGGCGAACGGGUGAGUAAAGUAUCGGAACGUGCCCAGUCGUGGGGAAUAACGUAGCGAAAGUUACGCUAAUACCGCAUACGAUCUAUGGAUGAAAGCGGGGGAUCGCAAGACCUCGCGCGAUUGGAGCGGCCGAUAUCAGAUUAGGUAGUUGGUGGGGUAAAGGCUCACCAAGCCGACGAUCUGUAGCUGGUCUGAGAGGACGACCAGCCACACUGGGACUGAGACACGGCCCAGACUCCUACGGGAGGCAGCAGUGGGGAAUAUUGCACAAUGGGCGCAAGCCUGAUGCAGCCAUGCCGCGUGUAUGAAGAAGGCCUUCGGGUUGUAAAGUACUUUCAGCGGGGAGGAAGGCGAUGUGGUUAAUAACCGCGUCGAUUGACGUUACCCGCAGAAGAAGCACCGGCUAACUCCGUGCCAGCCGCCGCCGUAA
rnacentral:rRNA from 1 species